UGGGGAAUAUUGGACAAUGGGGGGAACCCUGAUCCAGCCAUGCCGCGUGUGUGAAGAAGGCCUUAUGGUUGUAAAGCACUUUAAGCGAGGAGGAGGGUACUGGUAUUUAUACUACCAGCUACUGGACGUUACUCGCAGAAUAAGCACCGGCUAACUCUGUGCCAGCAGCCGCGGUAAUACAGAGGGUGCGAGCGUUAAUCGGAUUUACUGGGCGUAAAGCGUGCGUAGGCGGCUAAUUGAGUCGGAUGUGAAAUCCCCGAGCUUAACUUGGGAAUUGCAUUCGAUACUGGUUAGCUAGAGUGUGGGAGAGGAUGGUAGAAUUCCAGGUGUAGCGGUGAAAUGCGUAGAGAUCUGGAGGAAUACCGAUGGCGAAGGCAGCCAUCUGGCCUAACACUGACGCUGAGGUACGAAAGCAUGGGGAGCAAACAGG
rnacentral:rRNA from 1 species